rnacentral:lncRNA from 1 species
UAUUUUUGCAGAGCAGGCACUCAAAAUACAAAUUUUCUUGCCAUUUUAUAAAUGAGAAAGGGAAACAAAGAAAGACAGUAUAUUGGCGUUAGAGCCACUUCUGAGUCAAUUUUUGUGGUCUCACUGUUAGAAGAUGAUGAUGAUGUUGUGAAAAUCAGUGGCCCCUCCAACUUACCCACCUGGUAUACACUGCAACUGCAACCUUAUAGUCAGGUAUUGGUGUCAAAAUAGCAGGAUGGAUUUGGGGCCUAAUAUAAAAUAACAAAAGAUUGUUUCUCUUAUGGGGAGGGCUGGGGAGCGUGUGAUCAGACUAACGCUCUCCAUAGGCCCAGCUUCUGUAAGACAGGGUCACACUGCACAAACCUUCUUCAGUUUAAAUAAGGAAAGUUAAGAUUGGCACAGAUAGUGUGAAUGUUCUAAGCUGUCUAGUCUCCAGAUUCAGGAGAGUAAAUGUGUCUAUUAAAGAGUUACCUGAUCUGGUUGGUGGAGGCCUUUGCUCCAGUACAUUAAGGACACAUUUAUACCAACCGUACAUGCAUUUAUCGCAAGGGGAUGCAAAGAGAAGAUGAGGUAAUGGGAGAGAAAACUGUAUACAAGUUCCUUCUAGCUGGUGCAGAGAAAAAGUAGCAGCUUUGGCAAGUCUACCUCAGAUAUAACAUUUUAAUAAUUUACAGACAUAAAGAAAUUGCAUGCGUAUGUAUUCACAUUGUUGUUCUCCUUGCCACAUUUUCAUGAUGUCUGAUCUCAUUAUACAAACACUACUUUUCCUCUCUCAACAAAUAAGAACUUGGCAUUAUUCAUCUGAGAUGAAC